rnacentral:pre_miRNA from 1 species
CGGGUGCCACGCUGUGCUCUCUCGGUGUUACUGGUGAGUGAACACAGCUGGUGGUAUCUCAGU